AUGUGUGUUUUUUCUUUGGGGACAUUGGAGGGAUAAAAGUUGCGACAAUCAAGCUAUUUUAGAACCAGGUUUUCAUCGCAGCACUUUAAACGUUUUCCUCUUGCCUCGGAAUAAUUUUCACUUUCUGACUAGGAUUUCCUGCAAUAUCUUAGUCAUAUUGCUGUUGAAUGACCAUAGCUUUAUUCUGGAGCUUGAGAAUAGUCAUUUGUCAUCGCCUGUUGUUUAUACUGGAAAAUCAAACACAUUAUUAUACAUGAAUUUGUAUAUACAACAACCCAUCAUAGUUUCCUUAUAACUUAACUUAAACUUAAGCCCCAUCUACACUAACAAUUUUUAGUCGGCAAUUUUUAUGUGGCAACUAUAGUUGCUCAAAAGCUAGCAGGUUUGCUUUUUCUCAGCAAUUUAAAAUUGUCACUCAUGAAAAAUUGCAAGUGUAGAUGCCAACAAACAAGUUGUUAACUGAAAAUUGUUAUUAUAGAUGGGCUUUAUACCAUUUUCUAACCCUAGCAUUCCACCGAAUUUUAUUCAGUUUUAUGCUAUCAAAACAUAAGAAAUAAGUCCCUUUUGAUUUUAUUAUUCAACCAGAACCAUCAAAAUUACGGAGCAUUUGGUAGAGAUAUUUAUACUUAUUAUAGUUUGAUUUCAAACAUUUUAUACACCUAUUUCGAAAAAAACGUUGUCAAUGCAAACAGCAAUGGCGAUGGACAAAUGGCAGUUCUACGACCGAAAGGGUCCAUACAGUCAGGGAGCAUAUGUCGAAAAAAUAGGUCCCAUGGGAAAUCACUGAAGAAAGCAAGCAACUAUGCUAGUCGUGUUCAGGGGACUUCAGAUAAUAAGAAAAGUGAUAUUGCCAAGUUUGUAACGUGCUCUGGUUCAAAUUACGGCGGUCUUUGUAAAAUGACAUCAAAAGCUCAGCAUGGAAAGGAGACUGACAUGAAAAUCAUUAAUAUCUUUGCUAUUUUACAACGAAAUUUCACGAAACUUGCAGCGGAUAAUCAUUCAGAGGACAUAUUCUUGCUUUUAUUCUGUCACGUGACCCUUGACAUGAAAACGAGGCAUAUUUAUAAAAUCCUUAAAUAUCUAUAUUAUUUGUUAACGAAAUCUCACGAAACUUGCAGCAAAUGACUAUCAUAUAUUCAGAAGGUAAUAGCAUUAUUUUGUCGCAAGGCUAUUUAAUUUGCUAGUUCUUAAAGCAAUUUGAAAUAAUUCCUGCCAUCUUGUAUCCACCAUUUUCGAUAUUUAUUGAAAUGAUUAUGCAUGAAAAACCUUUCGAAAAAUUAUGUAAUGCAUAGAAAAUAUUAGUUUGCAGCAUUCAAAAGUAAAUCUAGCAGCUUUUUUGCAAUGCUAAUAACGGACUUCCGUUGUAUUUCUCUGGGAGACUAAGUAUUAAUGGUAUGCAGUACUUCUCGGCGGUAUUUUAAAAGGAAAUAGUGAUCCGCCAUGUUUUCUCUAUACGUUCUGUAAGUACAGCCUAGGUGGCCUUUCCGGCCAUGUCAGACGACAAACCAGAUUUUCUAUUCCGUACAUUGUGUCACGAGAAAACAAAAGAGCCCUUGGUACAUAAUCCGUCGUCCCAUCAAAGGUUGCUUCAAUUCAUAGAAGAGAGAAGAAAAUAUGGAGAUCCUUUUUAUAAAGGUAAUUGGGAAAUACUCAAACCCUACUCCGUGGAAGAAUUGGCUGAAGAGAAUGCAACUUGGUAUGGAUCAUGCUAUCAGGAUGCCACUAACGCUGGAAAACUGAAAAAAGCCCAGAUGAAAUUUGAGGAUGGACCAAAUUCUAAGUGGAAAGGAUGAGAGCAAGAAAAUAACAAGGUUACAGGCUACCCCCUACGGUAAGGCUUUUUGCUUCUUCUGUGAUCAACCUGCCAAAUACAAAGAUUCACUACAUGCUGUAAGCACAAAGGCAGCAGGGUUGUCUAUCCGGUCUGCUGUAGAGAUUCUUGGAGAUGUGAAAUUGCAAACAAAGCUCGCUACAUCAAUCGACACUGGAGACGCUGUUGCCAUAGAUGUCAAAUAUCACAAUAGCUGUUACCUAGGUAAUGUCACAAAUGUCCUGCGAAGCUCCUAGUACUUACCAAGCGAUGAUAAUGCCGUGAUAGCUGGUAGAUUCGAGUUCUUGGAUAUAACUAAGAAGGCUUUGAGAAAGGAGAAACCUUUGAAUAUGGCAGAACUUGAGACUCUAUAUACAAAUGUUCUUUGCGAAAAUGAUGCAGCAAAUACAUCAUGCACCAGAAAGACCCUUAAGCAACUACAAGUCAUAUUCCGGAUGUCGAGUUUCACAGGCGCCGAAACAAGUUAAUGAGCCAGAAAGACUGACUAUCAAAGAAACUUGUGAUAACUCCUUGAUAUCAAUCGAGGAAGACUGUUCCACAGACGCCGAAAUGAGAGUAAUUUAUGAUGCUGCUGCAGUACUCCUUCGCAAGCGCAUAAACAACAGCGAGAGCUGGAUCUUCACUGGACGGUUUGACGACCUUGGUGAAAAGCACCUUCCCAAGGAGCUCCAUUGCUUUUUCAGAUGGGUAAUACACGGUCCUAUGGAUUUCCCUUUGGAUUGGAUUCGACGGGAAGCAACGAUCGCUCUGUUGACGACCUUCCCCAGACAAUAAUGCUAGAAUGCCCUGCUCCUAAAACCCCGAAAAAGUCCUACCUACCCUUCCUCUAGCUUCAGUGUGGAGGAUCUCAUCUCCCAAUAACAGUUAAACUGAAGAAUUUCGCUUGGCUCCUUGGGUGCAGUCUUACGCACAUUCCAGUUGAAGAUGCUGAUGGAGGAAUGAGCCCAUCUCAAGUGCCUGUCUGGGCAGGAUUUAAUUCCCUUGUUAAUGAAUGCCAGCCCCUCACCAGGAUUGGAGCUCCACCGCCACUAGCAGCCCCUGCCCAUGAAUGGUCUACGCUGCUCACCAUUCUCAUGCAGGUAUAGGCUUAAUUAGCAAAAGUAAAACAAAUCAAAAUGUAAUCCAAAGUAACAUAAAUAAAUCUAUGAAAUGCAGGCUCAAGGAAUCACUGCUUAUGUCAUUGGCUUUCGGUCUCUAGCUCAGCUCGGAACAAGUCCUCUCCCAAGUGACGAGAGCCACAGUGGUGUAGCGAAGUUUGUUUGCCAGGUCUUGGUCCCGAAGACAGAAAUCUUCUCCCUUAAGGAAUUGCGAUGGUGGCUUUUCACCAAGAAACAAGCCAGAUCGCAACAGCUUCCCCCCACUGACGCAGCCUUGCAUCAAGCUUUGGGCCCAUUACCAGCUGCUUGUCUGGAACAAUGAUAACAGUUGCCAACCCAGUCUUACCUUCACCAGAGAAGUAUGGAUGGAAAUGGAACGAUGGCGACAAGGUGUGGGACCCGGUUAUGACCACAUCACCUCCUGCCCCACAAGUCAUUAUCCAGUUAGUCAAGUGUAAAUGCGCCAAGGACAGGUGCGUCACAAACAGAUGCCAGUGCAAGAAGUCGGGUUUAAAGUGCACAAAUCUCUGUGGUUGCUCAGCCAAUGGUGAAGACUGUCAAAACAAGUCUGGCAACAAUGAUGAGGAAGACGAGGAAGAAGAGAGUGAUGAUGAUGAUGACGACGAUGAUGAUAGCAGCGAUUAUGUAUCCGAUUCAGAUGAGUCUGAGGGCGAGUAAGACUGAUGAUAUUUAUCAGGAAUUCUUCUUGAGACAAGGACUACAUUUGAUGUAUAGUAGUAGAGGACUUUUGAUGUAAUCCACUGUGUAUUCGGUUCGAUAAUGCAUUUAACAUAGAAUUCAAACGUUUUCAUGUAAUUGAGUAAUCAGCCUCGUUUUCAUGUCAUGUUAAUCACGUGACAAAAAUGAAAUCAUUGCCUCUAAAUUCGUUAUAGUCAUUGGCUGCAAGUUUCGUGAGAUUUCGUUAACAAGUAAUAUAGAUAUUAAGGAUUUUAUAAAUAUGCCUUGUUUUCAUGUCAAGGGUCAUGUGACAGAAUUAAAACAAGGGUGUGUCCUCUGAAUGAUGUGAUGAUUAUCCGCUGCAAGUUUCGUGAUAUUUUGUUGUAAAAUAGCAAAGAUAUUAAUGAUUUUCAUGUCAGCCUCGUUUCCAUUUUGGGCUUUUGACGUUAUUUUACCAAAGGUGCCAUAAUUUGACCCAGAGCAAGUUACAAACUUGGCAACAUCACUUUUUUUAUUAUUUGAAGUCCCCUGGACACGACUAGCAUAGUUGCUUCCUUUCUUCAGUGAUUCCCCACGGGAUUACAUAUGCUCCCUGACUAAUAGAUCCAAAGAUAUUUACUCCAAAUUCAGAAAAA